UACGGAGGAUCCGAGCGUUAUCCGUAUUUAUUGGGUUUAAAGGGUGCGUAGGCGGCCUUGUAAGUCAGGGGUGAAAGACGGUAGCUCAACUAUCGCAGUGCCUUUGAUACUGCAGGGCUUGAAUGUACUUGAGGUAGGCGGAAUGUGACAAGUAGCGGUGAAAUGCAUAGAUAUGACAUAGAACACCAAUUGCGAAGGCAGCUGGCUACACAGAUAUUGACGCUGAGGCACGAAAGCGUGGGGAUCAAACAGG
rnacentral:rRNA from 1 species